AGUUGGAAACGACUGUUAAUACCGCAUAAUAUCUGUGGAUUAAAGGUGGCUUUCGGGCUGUCGCAGAUGGAUGAGCCUGCGUUGGAUUAGCUAGUUGGUGGGGUAAGGGCCCACCAAGGCUACGAUCCAUAGCUGAUUUGAGAGGAUGAUCAGCCACAUUGGGACUGAGACACGGCCCAAACUCCUACGGGAGGCAGCAGUGGGGAAUAUUGGACAAUGGGGGCAACCCUGAUCCAGCAAUGCCAUGUGUGUGAAGAAGGCCCUAGGGUUGUAAAGCACUUUAGUUGGGGAGGAAAGCCUCAAGGUUAAUAGCCUUGAGGGAGGACGUUACCCAAAGAAUAAGCACCGGCUAACUCCGUGCCAGCAGCCGCGGUAAUACGGGGGGUGCAAGCGUUAAUCGGAAUUACUGGGCGUAAAGGGUCUGUAGGUGGUUUGUUAAGUCAGAUGUGAAAGCCCAGGGCUCAACCUUGGAACUGCAUUUGAUACUGGCAAACUAGAGUACGGUAGAGGAAUGGGGAAUUUCUGGUGUAGCGGUGAAAUGCGUAGAGAUCAGAAGGAACACCAAUGGCGAAGGCAACAUUCUGGACCGAUACUGACACUGAGGGACGAAAGCGUGGGGAUCAAACAGGAUUAGAUACCCUGGUAGUCCACGCUGUAAACGGUGAGUACUAGCUGUUGGAGUCGGUGUAAAGGCUCUAGUGGCGCAGCUAACGCGAUAAGUACUCCGCCUGGGGACUACGGCCGCAAGGCUAAAACUCAAAGGAAUUGACGGGGACCCGCACAAGCGGUGGAGCAUGUGGUUUAAUUCGAUGCAACGCGAAGAACCUUACCUGGUCUUGACAUCCUGCGAACUUUCUAGAGAUAGAUUGGUGCCUUCGGGAACGCAGUGACAGGUGCUGCACGGCUGUCGUCAGCUCGUGUUGUGAAAUGUUGGGUUAAGUCCCGCAACGAGCGCAACCCCUAUUGAUAGUUACCAUCAUUAAGUUGGGUACUCUAUUGAGACUGCCGCUGACAAGGCGGAGGAAGGUGGGGACGACGUCAAGUCAUCAUGGCCCUUACGACCAGGGCUACACACGUGCUACAAUGGGUAUUACAGAGGGCUGCGAAGGUGCGAGCUGGAGCGAA
rnacentral:rRNA from 1 species